ensembl:lncRNA
AACUCUUUCACAACACGAGGGGCACAAGAACACGGCAGUCGCCACACUGAGCCAGGCCAAAGGUCCAUCUAACUCCGGUCUCCAAUAGUGGCAAAAGCAAAAUGCCUGGGGAGAAGUAUGAACACAGGACUCAUUAAACUGUCUGCAAGCCUUCACUGGAGAAAGACCUCCACCUAAGGGGACUCUGGAUGGAGGGGCCCAGUUUUAGUAACUCAGCACUGACGGCACAGAGGCAUGUCCACAAGAUCUGCACCACGUAGCUCAUUCCCAGAAGCAGCAAGUCAUCCUCAGUGCUACGGCAAUCAGGGAGGAGCCUGUGCAAGAGAUCGCAGCUGUCCCUUGUGAGAAGGCGGUGUCCAGACUUCAUCCUGGACUUCCCCAGAGAUGAAUCACCUCUCCAAGAAAGCUGUUCCCAUGAGUGCAGUGGGUUCAAAGAACAGCUCUUGCACCCAUGCCAAUGAGUCAAGCUUCUGCUCUCUAUGCUUUCUGUUGGAUCGUCAACAACGCGGACACAGAGACUGCUGCUUUUCUAUCUGAGGAAUAAAACCAGCAGCUCUUCCUUACUUGCAAUAUAGAGACUGUGAGUUCUUAGAGGCAGGGACCACAUUUUUUUUCCGGAACAUCUACCACGACAAGGUUGCGUCCUGGCUAAUAGCCAAGACAUCUGUUCCCAUAUGAAUAUUAAUGCUACACCUCAGCAUGCACCCUCUCAUAGUUGUCAAGGCUGUAAUUCACAACACGCGUCUCACCAAGAGAUUUUCCUGCGCGGCGCUCCAAAGCCCUAACAAGCUUUGAGCAGAUGACAGAACAGUCUGGCAAGCUGGCAGUCAUGGCAGAAAUGGACAUUUCUGCAGAAAAAAAAACCCCAAAGAUUUAUACGAUGUCUUCUGGAACAGCAAUACAUUACGGAAGAUCUACAUAAUUGCACUCUACAUGAUGCCAUCUACUUUGUACAGCCCACUGUGCUGGAAUAUGUGCGCUGAUCACCUAAGGUACACUGGGCUCCAUUUAAAACACAUUAGUACUACUUGGUGCAUCUUCUCACAUUUGGUGAGAAGGAAUAAGCACCAGGAAUAAGCACCAGGAAGAACGUACACGUGCUCUGCUAUCCCCCCAUGCACACGAGGGGGUGACACAGCAGCACCGUGUCCCAGUCGCCACAAAUCUGAGACUCGGCAUGACAGAAGUUAUCUCCUUUUGGAAGUAAUGUCACUACAUAGAGCAUCCUGAUUUAAUUUUCAAGAAUGUGGUUUAAUGGUAAUUGGUCCAUUUAAGCCUUUACAUUGACAUAUUCCUGGACCAGACUGUCUCACUCAGAUGAACUGUUGUUGUUGCAGGGAGCUUACGCCAGCAGUUUGUCUCAAAAUCCCUUUUGGUCUCAGCCCCUUUGUUACAGCUGCACACUCUGCUGCUGUUCCCCUCAGAUGUACUUCAGACACUCCUGAGCUCCAGAGCUUGGAGCUCUCAGCCGCCAAUGAGGAGCACAGCAAAGGCAUGACUUCAAGGAGCCCACAGGUGCCCCUCUCCCACAGCACGAGGCACCUCCUCAGCCCCUCUGCAUUGGCAUCACUCACACUGAACUGACCUUUUGGUUUUUCUUAUUAAAAAGCAACUCUCUCCUUCCCUCUUGCAUGUCUGUCAGGCGGACUCAAAUGGCAGCUCCACCAUCAAUGGCAGGAAGCAGAAGGGACAUACAAAAAGUAGUGAAAAGUUAAGAGUACUUAGGAAGUAUACAGAAACCAGAAAGCCAAAGGAACCUCAGUGUGCCAGUGCAGUUUCUGAGAUAACUCAUUUGAAAGCAAAUAGGGAAUAAUAUGUUUAAACUGAGACAGAAUUACACAAUUAGCUGGGGCUGGGACACUACCCAGUUGACAGAGUCAGCGAUAGAUGAGAUCCUUAGCCAUGCAUCAAGAGAGGGCUGGACACAUUUUUGGAAACAAAGCAAACCAAGGCAUAAAGACACUGGCCAAGGUUAAAUAAGCUGGAAAAGAAAGUGAUUUAUAUGCCCUGGGCUGAUAAGGGCAGGUCUUGCUGGGCUUUCAGGGCAGUCUUCCCCCAUUUGUUACUGUUCCUACAUUGCUUGCGUGUUCAGUUCAUAUUGAUGAGAUUAAAUGUAA